ACAGUACAAACUGAUCAGGCUAUGAAUUUAUUAAGCUCAUGAAGUCGGGCCUUAAUUGGCAACAGGUUGAUUAUUAUACCUGUGGGACAGUA
rnacentral:ncRNA from 1 species